GACGAAGUCAGAUGCUUAACCGAUGGAGCCACCCAGGUGCCCUGAGCAAGGGACCCAUGGCUGCAGAAAUGUUUGUGGAUCAUGCACAGUAGGAAUAAUUUUCAGAGGGAAUAUCAGGAGUUUGGUUCAAACCUGUUGAGUGUGAGAAGUUCCGGAGACUUCUGAGUGGAGGCAUUGAAUGGACGGCAAGAUGCCCAUGUCUGGAUUUGAGGGUAAGGGCUCAAGUUCCAGACACCACGAGGUGAUGUCCUAUAUGGGGACCAGGGUAGAGCUGUGAGUCACAUUUGGGAAGGGACAUCUUCAGGUCAUGGUGCCUGAGGGGCAGAGAAGGGGAGGACAAGGCCAGAGGACUGGAUCUGUGCCUUGGGCACCUGAGUGGUGUUGGUGAGCAUC